GAUGAACGCUGGCGGUAUGCUUAACACAUGCAAGUCGAACGGACUCUUCGGAGUUAGUGGCGGACGGGUGAGUAACGCGUGAGAAUCUGGCUUUGGGUUCGGGACAACCACUGGAAACGGUGGCUAAUACCGGAUGUGCCGAGAGGUAAAAGAGAAAUUGCCUGAAGAUGAGCUCGCGUCUGAUUAGCUAGUUGGUGAGGUAAAGGCUCACCAAGGCAGCGAUCAGUAGCUGGUCUGAGAGGAUGACCGGCCACACUGGGACUGAGACGCGGCCCAGACUCCUACGGGAGGCAGCAGUGGGGAAUGUUCCGCAAUGGGCGAGAGCCGGACGGAGCAAUACCGCGUGAGGGAAGAAGGCUCUUGGGUUGUAAACCUCUUUUCUUAGGGAAGAACAAAAUGACGGUACCUAAGGAAUCAGCAUCGGCUAACUCCGUG
rnacentral:rRNA from 1 species